rnacentral:tRNA from 1 species
ACCUGGGUGGCUCAGUUGGUUGAGCAUCUGACUUUGGCUCAGGUCAUGAUCUCACAGUUCGUGAGUUCAAGCCCCACAUCAGGCU